rnacentral:rRNA from 1 species
CAGUCGCCGCGGGAAUACGAAGGGUGCAAGCGUUACUCGGAAUUACUGGGCGUAAAGCGUGCGUAGGUGGUGGUUUAAGUCCGUUGUGAAAGCCCUGGGCUCAACCUGGGAAUUGCAGUGGAUACUGGGUCACUAGAGUGUGGUAGAGGAUAGUGGAAUUUCCGGUGUAGCAGUGAAAUGCGUAGAGAUCGGAAGGAACAUCUGUGGCGAAGGCGACUAUCUGGGCCAACACUGACGCUCAUGCACGAAAGCGUGGGGAGCAAACAGGAUUAGAUACCCCGGUAGUCCCUGUCUCUUAUAC